CAGGACAGUCUGACAAACUAAACAAAAAUUAGUCAAAAGUGAAAUGGCCAAUUUGGACAAUUUGUUGUUGUUUUCGGAAUUAACGACUAAGAGACCGGCUUCAUGGUGUGGUUGAUGGAACGCUAGAGGUCAACCUGCGUGGCGCGGCUCUCAGGCGCGCCAUGCUGGACUGUGACCAUACGUGAUGUCGUAAAAACCAGGAAGAGAGAAUUUGAGAAGCUGGAGGCUGCUAAUCUCGUUGAUGCACUGUAGAUGGCGACACUGGUGUGCAACUGUGAUGAGAAGAGAGGAGAACUACAUAGGAAGACGCAUGCUGAACAUGCAACCAGCAGGUAGAAGAAGAAGGGGGAGACCAAGGACAAGAUGGAAGGACUGCGUGCAGAAUGACUUGAAAAAGAAGGGAUUGGUGACACGAAGGGGAGGAUAGGAAACAAUGGAGGAGAAGAGUCCACUGCAGCGACCCCUACAGAGGGACUAAUAGCGCGAAGGAAGAAGAAGUAGAUCUGGUUAUUCUGUCUGCUGCCAACCCUGGUUUGCAGUUAUAUUUUGUCUACUAGUAACCCUCUACCCAUGUACAUAUUACUACCCCAUAAAAUUGAUAAUCUACCCACAUUCCAUUCCAUGUAAUGUCCAGAUCACAUGUACCCUUCAAAAAUAGUAGAAGUAGGGUUAUUACUAUAAACAAGCUAGAUAGCUUUUUUCACACAGUUAUUACUAAGCUUCACUAGGUUGUGUUACUUUCAUGUAAACUGCUAUUACUACUGUCAUUCGCAAUAUAUACAGUUACUAUAUAUUGCAACGACAGUUUAUUUUGUCUUCAAAAAACCUGUUACGUUCUUAGAUCCAGGUAGUAUACUAUUGCGUGUCAUGCACCGUGAAGAAAGUUUCAACCAAGUUUAAUAUGAUUAUUUUUCCUUCAUCUAUCUUAUUAUUUAGAAUAUUGCCGGUGUGCGCCAUGGUUUUAAAAUGCGUUUUAAAACUGGUGCCUUGUAGGUUGACUUACUUACUUACGUUACUUAAUACACUGCACACGUGAUGAGGUUAAGCUGGUCACUUAUGACCAACCAUAGUGAGAAAACUACGCACCUAUUACCAGGAAUGAAUAAUGACAGACUGUCAUUAUUUUCCCGUGCUAUUGCUACACGUAUUCUGAAAGAUUAAGCUAAGCUUAAGGUGACACGUGACUUCAUUUCUGUCAUCCUGUGCACAAAAUUCUUUUGAGUUCAUGUUGUUAUUUUAAAAUAUAUAGAAAGUUAGAAUAUUUGACUGCCACAUGAAGUAGAUCUCUCAUAUGUCAAGCAAUGUAUCUUUCUUAGAUGCUACCAUAUCAGAAUGAAAUUACAGUGUCAGUGUCUGGUUUAAGAUGUGUUAUAUAUUUGCUAUGUGAUAUAUACUAGCUGAAAAAUAAAACAUUGUUACUAAA